rnacentral:rRNA from 1 species
CAAUAGCGUAUAUUAAAGUUGUUGCGGUUAAAAAGCUCGUAGUUGGAUCUCGGCGAGCAGGGGGCGGUUCGAUGUUCGUCGUUACUGCCCCAUUUGCUCGUGUGGUUGGCGGAGGCUGCGGGGUGCUCUUCGUUGAGUGUCCCGUGGUGCCGUCGGGUUUACUUUGAAAAAAUUAGAGUGCUCAAAGCAGGCUUCACACGCUUGAAUAUUCGUGCAUGGAAUAAUGGAAUAGGAACUCGUUUCUAUUUUGUUGGUUUUCGGAAAUUGAGUUAAUGAUUAAUAGGGACAAUUGGGGGCAUUAGUAUUCAGACGACAGAGGUGAAAUUCUUGGACCGUCUGAAGACUAACUACUGCGAAAGCAUUUGCCAAGAGUGUUUUCAUUA